UGGAACUGGAGUCACAAGUGGUUGUGAGC
rnacentral:piRNA from 1 species